AAGACCCCCCCAGCCCCCCCAAAAAAGGGGCUUUUCACGGAUGACCUGCACAGGCUGGUGGACGAGUGGGUGCAGGACACGGCCCGGGCACAGGGAACCUCGUCGUGGGUCUCGACCCUUCGCGGCACCCGCGGGACCCCCCAAAAAUGGGGGGAGCUGCCCCCCCCCAAACCCAACCUCCCUCCGGGGGCUGAGUGAGGGGGAGCCCCAAAAACCACUGUUCCCCCCCCCCAGAUCCCCCAUUCCACCCCAAAUCCCCUGAUUUUGGGUCGUGUCCCCCCCCCACGGGCUCACCCCAAUAUUUGGCCCCUGAGUGACUUUGUUUCACCCCCUAAGCCCCUUGGUUUGACCCCCUGGAGGGUGACCCCAAAUUUCCAGCCCCAAAAUCACCUCAUUACACCCCAAAACUCCCGUUUUUGGGGCCCAACUCCCUCCCAUGGCGUGACCUUACCUUUGGCCCAAAAUUGCCUUAUUUUGCCCCCAAAAUCCUCCUUUUUUGCUCCCUCCAGGUUGAAUCCCCUUUUUUGGCCCCAAAUCACUGUAUUUUACCCCAUUUUUUAGGUCACUCCCCCUUUUCACCCUCCUCCCCAGGUGACCCCACUUUCUGAUGCCCAAAAUCCCCUCAUUUCACCUCAAAACCCCCCUUUUUUGGGCAUUCCCCCCUCUGCAUGAGGUGACCCCAAUUUUUAGCCCCCAAAUCACCUCGUUUCAGCCACAAACUCCCUUUUUUUGUGGCCUUUUCCACCAUCCCCUGAUGUGACCCCACUUUUCACCCCCAAAAUCUCGUCAUUUCACCCCAACCCCCCCUUUUUUGGGCCCAUUUCCCUUUUUUUACAUCUCCCCCAUGACACGAUGCCACUUUUUCCCCCCAAAAUUACAUUAUUUCACCUCAAACGUCCCCUUUCAGGGCCUUCCGUUCCACCCCCCCGAUGUGACCCCACUUUUCAGCCCCAAAAUCUCAUUUCACCCCAAACCCCCUUUUUUGGGUCUGUCCCUGUUUUUGUCCCCACCAUGAGUUGACCCCAAUUUUUAGCCCCCAAACGGCCUCAUUUCGCCCCAAAACACCAACAGUUGACCCCCAACCCUUCCCUCACCCCCUCAUUUGUCCCCAAAUCCGUCCGUUUGCCCCCAAAGACCCCCCAGAGGGCCCAGACUCCCAUUUUUCACCCCAAACCCCAUCACAGGCCUGGAAUCCCCCUUAACGCAGCCACAGGAGAGGGGAACUGGCCCUACUGGUUUUACUGGUGUGUUCCCCCCCACUGAUCGUGCUGGUGCCACCGCCCCUCCCCCACCCCUCCUCUCCCCCCACAGCCGAAUUUUGGGUCAUUUCUUGUGUUUUCCUCUCAUCCCUCUCCCCCCUUCGCCAGACAGUGAAAUCACGGGUGUUCCGCUUCGAGGGGGUGGGGAGGGCGUUUGACUGGGGACGAGGAAGUUGUUAUAAAUUGUUAUAAAGUGUGAAAAAAAAAACCUUAAAAAUCGAGAAAUAAAACCCGCGCGCCACAC
rnacentral:lncRNA from 1 species